rnacentral:rRNA from 1 species
CCUACGGGAGGCAGCAGUGAGGAAUAUUGGUCAAUGGGCGCGAGCCUGAACCAGCCAAGUCGCGUGAGGGAAGACGGUCCUAUGGAUUGUAAACCUCUUUUGUCGGGGAGCAAAAGACGCCACGCGUGGCGUUCCGAGAGUACCCGAAGAAAAAGCAUCGGCUAACUCCGUGCCAGCCGCCGCGGUAAUACGGAGGAUGCGAGCGUUAUCCGGAUUUAUUGGGUUUAAGGGGUGCGCAGGCGGAAGAUCAAGUCAGCGGUAAAAUUGGGAGGCUCAACCUCUGCGAGCCGUUGAAACUGGUUUUCUUGAGUGAGUGAGAAGUAUGCGGAAUGCGUGGUGUAGCGGUGAAAUGCAUAGAUAUCACGCAGAACUCCGAUUGCGAAGGCAGCAUACCGGCGCUCAACUGACGCUCAUGCACGAAAGUGUGGGUAUCGAACAGGAUUAGAUACCCGGGUAGUC